UCUUUUUGUUUCUAUUUUUCCUUUUUGUGCCGCCAGUUGGCGUCACUUCUCAGUUUUUGUAUUUCUGUUCAUUCCCUCAUUGGUUUCCCAUGUUAAUUGUAUUAUUGUUUUCCAUUAAUGUCUCGUUAUUCUAUCAUUGUUCCCACCUGUGUCUUGUUAUCCCCUCCUUUUCUGGUUUGAUUGUUCUUUGAGUUCACCUGUGUCUUGUUACCCCCUGUCUAUUUAAGUUCUUUGUCCCCUUGACUCAGGUGCUGGUUCCUUGUGUUUGUUUCCGACUUGGGUUUGUUUCUGACCCACUUGACUCCUCGACAGAUUAUACUAGUGCAUGAGAUUCAGAAAGGCACUGUCAGCACAUCAGUGCUCAUACAACAGCAAGGAAUACCGACAUUUGAUAUGUCUCACUCUGAGGACUCCAUACAAGGGUGAAACAAACCAUGAACGUCCACGUAUUUGGCAUCAUACGCAAUGCCUUUACUUGUAAGAUAACUCUUGACCUGAAGGGACCAGUGAGUAAUGACGUCGGGCAGUCCCAGCUUCAUAGGCCAUGUGGGUGUGCAUUUACCACAAAGGCAUGUGCAACUGGAACAGUUUUCCCUGUAGACCAGUGCCUCAUAAAAUGAUCUUGUCAAGCU